rnacentral:rRNA from 1 species
GACGAACGCUGGCGGCGUGCUUAACACAUGCAAGUCGUACGGUAAGGCCCUUUCGGGGGUCCACGAGUGGCGCACGGGUGUGUAACACGUGAGUAACCUGCCCACAACUUUGGGAUAACGCUAGGAAACUGGUGCUAAUACUGGAUAUGUUCUCCUGCUGCAUGGUGUGGGUUGGAGAGCUCCGGCGGGUGUGGAUGGACUCGCGGCCUAUCCGCUUGUUGGUGGGGUAGUGGCCUACCGAGGCGGCGACGGGUAGCCGGCCUGAGAGGGUGACCGGCCACAUUGGGACUAGGAUACGGCCCAGAGUCGUACGGGGGGAAGCAGUGGGGAAGGUUGCACAAUGGGCGCACGCCGGAUGCAGCAGGGCCGCGUGCGGGAGGACGGCCUUCGGGUUGUAAACCGCUUUCAGCAGGAACGAUGCUUUUUGUGACGGUACCUGCAGAAGAAGCACCGGCUAACUACGUG